AGAGUUUGAUCCUGGCUCAGGAUGAACGCUAGCGGCAGGCCUAACACAUGCAAGUCGAGGGAGAGGUUACCUUCGGGUAACCAAAACCGGCGCACGGGUGCGUAACGCGUAUACAAUCUGCCUUUCACAUAGGGAUAGCCCGAAGAAAUUUGGAUUAAUACCUAAUGGUAUAUAGGAGCGGCAUCGUUUUUAUAUUAAAGCUACGGUGGUGAAAGAUGAGUAUGCGUUCUAUUAGCUAGUUGGAGAGGUAACGGCUCCCCAAGGCGACGAUAGAUAGGGGUUCUGAGAGGGAUGUCCCCCACACUGGUACUGAGAUACGGACCAGACUCCUACGGGAGGCAGCAGUGAGGAAUAUUGGACAAUGGUCGGAAGACUGAUCCAGCCAUGCCGCGUGCAGGAAGACGGCCUUAUGGGUUGUAAACUGCUUUUGCAGGGGAAGAAUAAGGACUACGAGUAGUUUGAUGACGGUACUCUGCGAAUAAGCAUCGGCUAACUCCGUGCCAGCAGCCGCGGUAAUACGGAGGAUGCGAGCGUUAUCCGGAAUCAUUGGGUUUAAAGGGUCCGUAGGCGGGCUGAUAAGUCAGAGGUGAAAGCGCUUAGCUCAACUAAGCAACUGCCUUUGAAACUGUCAGUCUUGAAUGAUUGUGAAGUAGUUGGAAUGUGUAGUGUAGCGGUGAAAUGCUUAGAUAUUACACAGAACACCGAUAGCGAAGGCAUAUUACUAACAAUUUAUUGACGCUGAUGGACGAAAGCGUGGGGAGCGAACAGGAUUAGAUACCCUGGUAGUCCACGCU
rnacentral:rRNA from 1 species